GGGGCAUCCCUCGGCGGUUAAAGAUUCAUCGGCUGCGGAUGGCCAUGCGGCGCAUUAGCUAGUCGGCGGGGUAACGGCCCACCGAGGCGACGAUGCGUAGGGGUUCUGAGAGGAAGGUCCCCCACACUGGUACUGAGAUGCGGACCAGACUCCUACGGGAGGCAGCAGUGAGGAAUAUUGGUCAAUGGCCGGGAGGCUGAACCAGCCAAGUCGCGUGAGGGAAGACGGCCCUACGGGUUGUAAACCUCUUUUGUCAGGGAGCAAGAGGCGGGUCGAGACCUGCUGUGAGAGUACCUGAAGAAAAAGCAUCGGCUAACUCCGUGCCAGCAGCCGCGGUAAUACGGAGGAUGCGAGCGUUAUCCGGAUUUAUUGGGUUUAAAGGGUGCGCAGGCGGAGGCACAAGUCAGCGGUAAAAUCGCGGGGCUCAACCCCGCUCCGCCGUUGAAACUGUGUCCCUUGAGUGCGCGAAGGGUAGGCGGAAUGCGUGGUGUAGCGGUGAAAUGCAUAGAUAUCACGCAGAACUCCGAUCGCGAAGGCAGCCUACCGGCGCGCAACUGACGCUCAUGCACGAAAGCGUGGGUAUCGAACAGGAUUAGAUACCCUGGUAGUCCACGCAGUAAACGAUGAAUGCUAUCUGUCCGGCCGGAAUGACGGCUGGGUGGCACAGCGAAAGC
rnacentral:rRNA from 1 species